AGCUGGACAACUGGCGACUGAAGAUCGUGUAUGUUACUGGCACAAACCUGAAUUUUCCAAUUCCUUUGACAGCUAGCAUUGCAAGAAUGCCAGGGAUUACUUCCAAAAGUUUGCUUUCUAGUGCCUCUUAAGAACAAGUAUGGAGCAGCCAGACAUGGUUUCCUGAAGCUGAAGAUGCGGGCAGCUGAAAAAACACCCAGAGUGUGGGGAUCAGUGUGCUGCUGACGUCUGCAUCAUUGCCAGUAACACUCAAAGCCCCCAGAAAAAACUGAGCAAAUAUUUCCUAAGGUGAAUUAUUUUUUUAUGAAAGAACAUGAAUCACCAGGUGCCACUGAGAAAGCGGUGGAGGAAAACACCUUUCCAGUUUUGGCGAGAAAGAAGCAACAAGGACUUUCCUGCAAGAGAUCUUUGAUGAAUUGAGGAAUUAAGACAGUGAGGUCAC